GGGCGAUUAGCUCAGUUGGUUAGAGCGCUUCUCUGAUAAGGAAGAGGUCGGUGGUUCGAGUCCACCAUCGCCCACCA
rnacentral:tRNA from 1 species